GAUGAAGAACGCAGCGAAAUGCGAUAAGUAGUGUGAAUUGCACAAUUCAGUGAAUCAUCGAAUCUUUGAACGCACAUUGCGCCCCUUGGUAUCCCGAGGGGCAUGCCUGUUCGAGCGUCAUUUCACCACUCAAGCCUGGCUUGGUGUUGGGCGACGUCCCCUUUGGGGACGCGCCUCGAAACGCUCGGCGGCGUGGCACCGGCUUUAAGCGUAGCAGAAUCUUUCGCUUUGGAAGUCGGGGCCCCGUCUGCCGGAAGACCUACUCGCAAGGUUGACCUCGGAUCAGGCAGGGAUACCCGCUGAACUUAAGCAUAUCAAUAAGCGGAGGA
rnacentral:misc_RNA from 1 species